rnacentral:misc_RNA from 1 species
AAAGUCGUAACAAGGUUUCCGUAGGUGAACCUGCGGAAGGAUCAUUAUUGAAUGAACUUGGUGUGGUUGUUGCUGGUCCUCUCGGGGACAUGUGCACACCCGCCAUCUCCAUCUCUCCACUUGUGCACCUCUUGUAGACCUGGACAGACUUUCCGAGGCAACUCGGUCGGGAGGAAUUGCUGCCGCUUUGCGUCAGCUUUCUUUGUAUUUCCAAGCCUACGUUUUUUCAUAUACCCGUAGUAUGUAACAGAAUGUAUCAUUUGGGCCUCAGUGCCUAUAAACCAUAUACAACUUUCAGCAACGGAUCUCUUGGCUCUC